UUCCAGUUAAUGUUUUGUUAACAGGUCUGA
rnacentral:piRNA from 1 species